GGGUUGUGAGGUUAAGCGACUAAGCGUACACGGUGGAUGCCCUGGCAGUCAGAGGCGAUGAAGGACGUGCUAAUCUGCGAAAAGCGUCGGUAAGGUGAUAUGAACCGUUAUAGCCGGCGAUGUCCGAAUGGGGAAACCCAGUGCAAUUCGUUGCACUAUCGUUAACUGAAUACAUAGGUUAACGAGGCGAACCGGGGGAACUGAAACAUCUAAGUACCCCGAGGAAAAGAAAUCAACCGAGAUUCCCCCAGUAGCGGCGAGCGAACGGGGAGCAGCCCAGAGUCUGAAUCAGCUUGUGUGUUAGUGGAACGGUCUGGAAAGUCCGACGGUACAGGGUGAUAGUCCCGUACACCAAAAUGCACAGGUUGUGAACUCGAAGAGUAGGGCGGGACACGUGGUAUCCUGUCUGAAUAUGGGGGGACCAUCCUCCAAGGCUAAAUACUCCUGACUGACCGAUAGUGAACCAGUACCGUGAGGGAAAGGCGAAAAGAACCCCGGCGAGGGGAGUGAAAAAGAACCUGAAACCGUGUACGUACAAGCAGUGGGAGCACCUUCGGGUGUGACUGCGUACCUUUUGUAUAAUGGGUCAGCGACUUAUAUUCUGUAGCAAGGUUAACCGUAUAGGGGAGCCGCAGGGAAACCGAGUCUUAACUGGGCGUUAAGUUGCAGGGUAUAGACCCGAAACCCGGUGAUCUAGCCAUGGGCAGGUUGAAGGUUGGGUAACACUAACUGGAGGACCGAACCGACUAAUGUUGAAAAAUUAGCGGAUGACUUGUGGCUGGGGGUGAAAGGCCAAUCAAACCGGGAGAUAGCUGGUUCUCCCCGAAAGCUAUUUAGGUAGCGCCUCGUGAAUUCAUCUUCGGGGGUAGAGCACUGUUUCGGCUAGGGGGUCAUCCCGACUUACCAACCCGAUGCAAACUACGAAUACCGAAGAAUGUUAUCACGGGAGACACACGGCGGGUGCUAACGUCCGUCGUGAAGAGGGAAACAACCCAGACCGCCAGCUAAGGUCCCAAAGUCAUGGUUAAGUGGGAAACGAUGUGGGAAGGCACAGACAGCCAGGAUGUUGGCUUAGAAGCAGCCAUCAUUUAAAGAAAGCGUAAUAGCUCACUGGUCGAGUCGGCCUGCGCGGAAGAUGUAACGGGGCUAAACCAUGCACCGAAGCUGCGGCAGCGACACUAUGUGUUGUUGGGUAGGGGAGCGUUCUGUAAGCCUGCGAAGGUGUGCUGUGAGGCAUGCUGGAGGUAUCAGAAGUGCGAAUGCUGACAUAAGUAACGAUAAAGCGGGUGAAAAGCCCGCUCGCCGGAAGACCAAGGGUUCCUGUCCAACGUUAAUCGGGGCAGGGUGAGUCGACCCCUAAGGCGAGGCCGAAAGGCGUAGUCGAUGGGAAACAGGUUAAUAUUCCUGUACUUGGUGUUACUGCGAAGGGGGGACGGAGAAGGCUAUGUUAGCCGGGCGACGGUUGUCCCGGUUUAAGCAUGUAGGCUG
rnacentral:rRNA from 1 species